rnacentral:rRNA from 1 species
ACGAUUGACGGAGCGAAGCGACGUCAAAGCGUUCAUUAAAGUCGAGUUGGCUUAGGGAUACGUUCGUUGGGUAGGGGAGCGUUCUGUAAGCCUGUGAAGGUGUGUCGUGAGGCAUGCUGGAGGUAUCAGAAGUGCGAAUGCUGACAUAAGUAACGAUAAAGCGGGUGAAAAGCCCGCUCGCCGGAAGACCAAGGGUUCCUGUCCAACGUUAAUCGGGGCAGGGUGAGUCGACCCCUAAGGCGAGGCCGAAAGGCGUAGUCGAUGGGAAACGGGUUAAUAUUCCCGUACUUGGUGUUACUGCGAAGGGGGGACGGAGAAGGCUAUGUUGGCCGGGCGACGGUUGUCCCGGUUUAAGCGUGUAGGUGUGUGUUCCAGGUAAAUCCGGUUCACUUUAACACUGAGGCGUGACGACGAGGCACUACGGUGCUGAAGCAACAAAUGCCCUGCUUCCAGGAAAAGCCUCUAAGCAUCAGGUAACAUCAAAUCGUACCCCAAACCGACACAGGUGGUCAGGUAGAGAAUACCAAGGCGCUUGAGAGAACUCGGGUGAAGGAACUAGGCAAAAUGGUGCCGUAACUUCGGGAGAAGGCACGCUGACACGUAGGUGAAGUGAUUUACUCAUGGAGCUGAAGUCAGUCGAAGAUACCAGCUGGCUGCAACUGUUUAUUAAAAACACAGCACUGUGCAAACACGAAAGUGGACGUAUACGGUGUGACGCCUGCCCGGUGCCGGAAGGUUAAUUGAUGGGGUCAGCGCAAGCGAAGCUCCUGAUCGAAGCCCCGGUAAACGGCGGCCGUAACUAUAACGGUCCUAAGGUAGCGAAAUUCCUUGUCGGGUAAGUUCCGACCUGCACGAAUGGCGUAAUGAUGGCCAGGCUGUCUCCACCCGAGACUCAGUGAAAUUGAACUCGCUGUGAAGAUGCAGUGUACCCGCGGCAAGACGGAAAGACCCCGUGAACCUUUACUAUAGCUUGACACUGAACAUUGAGCCUUGAUGUGUAGGAUAGGUGGGAGGCUUUGAAGUGUGGACGCCAGUCUGCAUGGAGCCGACCUUGAAAUACCACCCUUUAAUGUUUGAUGUUCUAACGUGGACCCGUAAUCCGGGUUGCGGACAGUGUCUGGUGGGUAGUUUGACUGGGGCGGUCUCCUCCUAAAGAGUAACGGAGGAGCACGAAGGUUGGCUAAUCCUGGUCGGACAUCAGGAGGUUAGUGCAAUGGCAUAAGCCAGCUUGACUGCGAGCGUGACGGCGCGAGCAGGUGCGAAAGCAGGUCAUAGUGAUCCGGUGGUUCUGAAUGGAAGGGCCAUCGCUCAACGGAUAAAAGGUACUCCGGGGAUAACAGGCUGAUACCGCCCAAGAGUUCAUAUCGACGGCGGUGUUUGGCACCUCGAUGUCGGCUCAUCACAUCCUGGGGCUGAAGUAGGUCCCAAGGGUAUGGCUGUUCGCCAUUUAAAGUGGUACGCGAGCUGGGUUUAGAACGUCGUGAGACAGUUCGGUCCCUAUCUGCCGUGGGCGCUGGAGAACUGAGGGGGGCUGCUCCUAGUACGAGAGGACCGGAGUGGACGCAUCACUGGUGUUCGGGUUGUCAUGCCAAUGGCACUGCCCGGUAGCUAAAUGCGGAAGAGAUAAGUGCUGAAAGCAUCUAAGCACGAAACUUGCCCCGAGAUGAGUUCUCCCUGAGACUUAGAGUCUCCUGAAGGAACGUUGAAGACGACGACGUUGAUAGGCCGGGUGUGUAAGCGCAGCGAUGCGUUGAGCUAACCGGUACUAAUGAACCGUGAGGCUUAACCUUACA